rnacentral:snRNA from 1 species
AGCUUUGCACAGUGGCAGUAUCAUAGCCAAUGAGGUUUAUCCAAGGCACAAUUAUUGCUAAUUGAAACACAUGGGUCUUUGUGAAACAUUUCAGAUCCAAACCAUAGUAGCACCCUGAUAAAAGAGGCCAAGGGU